AACAACAGCCUCGUGGCCCUGUUUCCUGAUCAGUUCCAAGGCCUAUCUAAACUAAAAGACCUGGCUGUUUAUGACAACAAUAUCGAAAAUCUGCCGCGCGGAGUUUUUAAGGACGCGAAACAGAUUAGGUCUAUGAGUUUUUAUCGAAACAAAAUCACUGAAAUAACUAAUGAACAAUUCAAAGAUGUCGCGCCGAACAUUCGAUUCUUGUACUUUCAUUACAACGACAUGCGGGAGUUACCAGAUGGUUUUUUUUCUAAUAUGAAAGAAUUAAUAACAGCGUAAGUCAG